rnacentral:rRNA from 1 species
UCAUGGCUCAGAUUGAACGCUGGCGGCAUGCCUUACACAUGCAAGUCAACGGCAGCACGGGAGCAAGUCCUGGUGGCGAGUGGCGAACGGGUGAGUAAUAUAUCGGAACGUGCCCAGUCGUGGGGGAUAACGUAGCGAAAGUUACGCUAAUACCGCAUACGCACUAAGGUGGAAAUGGGGGAUCUUCGGACCUCAUGCUCAUGGAGUGGCCGAUAUCUGAUUAGCUAGUUGGUGAGGUAAAGGGCUCACCAAGGCGACGAUCAGUAGCUGGUUUGAGAGAACGACCAGCCACACUGGAACUGAGACACGGUCCAGACUCCUACGGGAGGCAGCAGUGGGGAAUAUUGGACAAUGGGCGAAAGCCUGAUCCAGCAAUGCCGCGUGAGUGAUGAAGGCCUUCGGGUUGUAAAGCUCUUUUACUCGGGACGAUAAUGACGGUACCGAGAGAAUAAGCCCCGGCUAACUCCGUG